UCCCUGGUGGCUCAGAGGGUAAAGCAUCUGCCUGCAAUGCAGGAGACCCAGGUUUGAUCCCUGGGUGGGGAA
rnacentral:tRNA from 1 species